CAUGUUCUGACUCUAGACAGAAUUUUUCAUACGCUUCUUCAAUUUCUGGAUCCAUCUCAUCAUCAAUGUCAUCAAAACAUCUACAAAAAAAAACAAAACAAAACACAAUACCAAAGCUACCAGGACAACUAUGGAACAUAGUCUCCUGGAAGACGUGUGAAGGCACAUGUGAGCUGAGGAGGUGAUCUGAGACAGCCAGCACAGCUUCAGCAAGGGCAGAUCAUGCCUGAUCAAUGUGGUGGCUUUCUAUGAUGUAAUGAUGGCAUCAGCAGGCAAAAAAAGGGCAACUGACUUUGCCUCCCUAGACUUCUGCAAGGCAUUUGACAUGGUCCCACAAGAUACCCUUAUCUCAAAAUUGGAAAGAUAGGAAGGAUAGGUUAUCCAGUGGAAAACAAAUUGGUGGGAUGGUCGUAGCCAGAAGGUUGUGGUCAAUGGCUCUAUGUCCAGCUGGAGGCUAGUAAUGAGUGGUCUCCCUCAGGAAUCUGCCUUGGGACUGGUGCUCUUCAGCAUCUUGAUCAGUAACACACACAGUGGGAUUCUGUGCAAGUUUGCAGAUGACACCACCUGAGCAGUGUGACUGAUAUGACAAAAGGAUGAGCUGUCACUCAAAAGGACCUUGACAAGCUUGAGAAGUGGACCCAGAGGGUUCAACAUGGCCAAGUGCAAAGUGUUGCAGUUGGGUCAGGGCAAUCCCAGACAUUUACAGCCUGGAAGAACGAACUGAGAGUAGCCCUGCAGAGAAAGACUUGGGGGUUCUAGUGGAUAGAAAGAGGGAUACAAGCCAGCAUUGUGUGCUUGCAGCUGGAAGGCCAACUGUUAAGGCUGCGUUAAGGAGCAUGAGUGAGCCCCUGGGUAAUUUGCAGAUAACACCAAGUUGGAAGGAAGUGUUCAUGUGCCUGCAAGUACGAAGACCCUACAGAAGGAUCUGGAUAGGCUGGACUGAUGAGCUGAGGCCAGUUGUGUGAGGUUCAACAAGAUCAAGUGCCAGGUUCUGCACUUUGGUCAAAACAACGCCAUGCAUUACAAAAAGCUCAGAGAAUAGUGGCUGGAAGACUGCAGAGGAAAAGGUCCUGAGGGAAUUAAUCAGCAGUGUGCCCAGGUGGCCAAUGGUAUCCUGGCUUAUAUAAGAAAUAAUGUAGUCAGCAGGAGUAAGGAGGUGAUCAUUCCUCUGUACUCAGCACCAGUGGGGCUACACCUCGAGUACUGCAUUCAGUUUUGGGCUCCUAACUACAAGGAAGAUAUAAAGGCCUGGGAAUGUGUCCAAAGAAAGGAAUCAACACUGUAAAGGGUCUGGAACACAAGUCUUCUGAGGAGCAGCUGAAGGAAAUGGGAUUGUUUAGUCUGGAGUAAAGGUGGUUGUAGCAGGGUUGGGGUCAGCCUCUCCUUCCAAGUAACUAGUAACAGGAAGGGAGGUAAUGGCCUUAAGUUGCACCAGGGGAAGUUGAGAUUGGAUAUUUGGAAGAGUUUCUUCUCUGAAAGAGUGGUCAAGCAUUGGAACAGGAUUCCCAGGAAGCUUCCUCAGCCUUCCACUGUCCCUGCAGGUUUUCAAAAGCAGGGUAGCUGCCGCCACUGAGGGACAUGGUUUAAUGGGCAUGAUGGUGAGGGGACGAUGAUUGGACUAGAUAGAUGACCUUAGUGGUCUUUUUCAACCUUAAUGGUUCUAUGAAAAUGAUCCUAUGAAAAAGAGAGGGAUGUCAUUAUCCCCUUCAAAUUUGCCCUUGUGAGGCCCCACCCGCUGUACUGUGCUGAGGGCUGGGGCCCUCAGAACAAGAAGGAUGUGGAGCUGUUGGACCACAUCCAGAGGCAGCCACAAAGAUGAUUAGAUGGUUGGAGCACCUCUCCUAUGAAAAAGUUGAGGGAGGUGGACUUGUUCAGCUUGCAGGAGAGGCAGCUCCAGGGAGAACACAUUACUCAAAAGGGAGCAUAUAAAAAGGAGGAAGACCAACUUUUUACAUGCUGUGAUAGUGGCAGAACAAGAGGAAAUGGUUUUAAACUAAAAUGAUAGAGAUUUACAUAAGACAGUAUGAGAAAAUUAUUUGCUCUGAGGGUGGUAAGGCACUGGAACAGGCUGCCCAGACAAGUUUUGGAUGCUCCACCCCUGGAGGAGUUUAAGGUCAGGUUGGUUGGGACCCUGGGCAGCUGGAGGUAGUGGAUGGCAACCCUGCCUAUGGCAGAGGAGUUGCAACUAGUUCAUCUUUAAGGUCCCUUCCAAUCUAAGCCAUUCUGUGUAUGAUAGGGUGGGUAUGUGAUUCUUAAAAAGUCAGCAACUAAUGACUCUCAGCAAGUGUGCAGUUGUUUGAGGCUAUCAUCUUCUGUGCACGAGUUCCAAACAAGGCAGUCACAUAUCUUAUCUGUACUGGGUCCAGAAAUGUUAGGUUUCAUACAAAAUCAUGGUGAUUGUCAGGGAAAUAUACAAAAAAGAAUUUUUUUCUUGAGCACUGUGCCUUAAAUAAUCAGUUCUCUUCCUCUUGUAGCAGUGUAGAUGCACAGAGCGCUUUUCCUGGAUGAAAGCCACAAGAAAUAGCUGACAGAAGAUCAAUACUAUACAUUUGUUUAAGCUUUUCUUAAGCUUUCAGCAAAGAUGGUUCUGAAGCCAGUUCUCAUAAAGGGCUGAGCCAGUCCUCCACAUGCCAUUCUUCAGACAUGCUUUUUUUUUUUUUUUUUAAAGUGCUAUCUGUCUCCAUUUUGCAUUUAAUUUGGUCUUACAAGCACAUCAGUUCAAAUAGGUAUUUUUAUUUCAAUAUUAGCCUGUUAAUUCCUGAUGGCAUCUCUAAUUUAUGUUCAUCCCAUAAUUCCUGCAAGUACCCUCAGCUAGCUUCAAUCCAAGUCUUCUAAUUUACUAAGAAAAAUAUUGAUCCAGGCUCUUAUCAAACAUGAAGCCAACAUGAAAAUACUUUUUAGAUUCAAAUCUCUUUCAACAAGAUGAUUACAAAGCUCAAGAGUAAUUUAUUUUAGACCCUAUUUUUUUUCUAGUGGUUUCCAAUUAGGUUCUUAUAAACCAAUGUCAGAAAAUCAGACUAUAUUCUCAUCUACUGCUUCCCCCUUUGCUAUGAGGUUGCUUUUUGUGUUUUACAAAAAUACUUAACAGCCAUGUGACAGGGGAAUACUAUUUAUGCUUAGGAGAAAAACUUAGCAACCUUCCUUGUGAAAGGCUGAAUAUUGUCAUAAUCUCUAGCUAUGACAUAUACUCAAAUCAGGCUGCCUCACAAUGCUUGUAGCUCAGGUGCUUCACUUUUUUUUAAUGCUGAAAAAAACACUGCAAGCAAAGUUUGCACCUGUUCAGAAAUAACUGAAACUUUCUUACAAUAUUCAGAAGGAUAAAUAUUUGUUUUGAACUUGUGUGAUUACAAACCAACAUAACCGUAACAAGUAUUUAACUUCUAUUGUAGGGUUGAGCAAUAAUUAUUACUUAAUUUUUGUCAAGAUGACAUUCUUAAGUUUGCAGUAAGAACAACUAGUAUCUACAAAGUUAAGAAAAAGUAUAAGAAAGUUAAAGUAAUAAAGUUAAGACAAAGUUUAUGAAAGUUAUUCUAGAAGUAAACAUACAAAUCUCCAGCUCCUGAUAAAUCUGUUCCAUUUUCUUCAUAAUCUGGAAACCAAUCCUCUCUUUCAAGCAGCUCUUGAUAUUCCUCUUGGUAAUCUGGCACAGUAAAAAACCAGAUGGAGAUAUAUAUAUCAAGUGAGAUUAGUCUGCUAAAUUAGCAAUUAUCUACACAGUUUGAAAGUAGCUUAUUUAAUGAAACUAUCUACACAGCUUGAAGGUAGCUUAUUUAAUGAAACCAUAAAUGGAAUGAAACAGUAGGGAAAAAAAAAAUCUAGUACAGCAUUUUUUCAGGACAUCAACCAAACGCCAAGAAUAAUAUCCAUCAUCCCACAGAACUGUAAAGGUAGAUACCUUCAUCUCAAAUGACACCAUACUAUGCUGUAUCCCGAUGUUAGAAAAUGCUAGGCAGUAAGGGACAUAAUUUAGUGAACUGAUGAUCUAGAAGGUCUUUUCCAUUCCAGUAAUGAUUCCAUGAUUCUAACAGUGUAUAAAAGAAGACUAAGUUUUCUGGCCUUGAAAAGAGAUUGCUGAGGAAUACUGUGAACUAAAAUACAUAUCCUUAAUUUCAAAUAUCUUCAUUUUUUAAACCCUAAGUAAGGGAUGUUUUGUACAAUUCAAAGCUAGAAAUUCAUACAUAAUUUUGUCUUUUAAAUUGCAAGAGUUUCAGAUAUUUUAAAAGAACUUCAUAUAUACUUAGAUAAGACUACAAUUAAUUACAACUUAUUAAAGAAGGUAUACAUUAAACAAGAUGUACCUGGAUCUGCUGCAGUGAAAGGAAUGCCAUCAGAAGUAUAAAACGUUGGCUCAUUCUAAGGAUAAAGUUAUAGAGAAAAUCACUUACAUUCAAAGAAGCAGUUGUUUGAAGUUUUUGCUAUACAGAUGUCUAUGAAUCAAACUAAGGAACUGAAGUACAUUCUUACCAUAAAAUAGUUAGGGUCAUUUUCAGGAGUAGCUUCUGUAUGUGAAGAAGUUCCAAGAACUCUACCCCAGUUACUUGAUCGCAGUUCUACUAGUUUCAGAAGCAUAUGCUUCACAUCUCUGGUAA